GCGGGAAUAGCUCAGUUGGUAGAGCACGACCUUGCCAAGGUCGGGGUCGCGAAUUCGAGUCUCGUUUCCCGCUCCA
rnacentral:tRNA from 3 species